rnacentral:tRNA from 1 species
GGAAGCGAAUGGGGCCCGGUGGCCCUCCCGGUCUUCAAAACCGGUCGCCCCCUGCUAACGUGGGGGGGCUGGGUUCGACUCCCAGGCGCUUCCGCCA